rnacentral:lncRNA from 1 species
AUCACUUUAAUCUGUUCCGAUUCUGAUGCCGGUAGCAAACCCAUAUGAGAAAGAAAGGAAAGAUAUAAGUUUUUUACUUAUCUGUAUUUUAACCUAACUUUGAAAGAAAAAUAAAAAUAAAAAUUAAUUUUAAUUUAAAAUAAAAAUGUUUUAAUAAUUUAAUAUAUGAAUUAAAAAAAAAAUUGAGGGGUGAUUGUGAUCUUCC